CCUACGGGUGGCAGCAGUGGGGAAUAUUGCACAAUGGGGGAAACCCUGAUGCAGCAACGCCGCGUGAGGGAAGACGGUUUUCGGAUUGUAAACCUCUGUUCGUAGGGAAGAAAAAUGACGGUAGCGAAGGAGCAAGCCACGGCAAAUACGGGGCAGCAGCCGCGGGUAAACGUAGGGGGCAAGCGUUAUCCGGGAUUACUGGGGGGAAAGGGAGCGGAGGCGGGAGGGCAAGUCAGGUGUGAAAAGCUCGGGCUUAACCUGUGGACCGCAUUUGAAACUGUGUUUCUUGAGUGCAGGAGAGGUUGGUGGAAUUCCGAGUGUAGCGGUGAAAUGCGUAGAUAUUCGGAGGAACACCAGUGGCGAAGGCGGCUCACUGGGCUUUAACUGACGUUGAGGCUCGAAAGUGUGGGGAGCAAACAGGAUUAGAUACCCUAGUAGUC
rnacentral:rRNA from 1 species